AGGAGAAUGUGUUGGGAAGCACAAUCAAAGAGGGUGAUAAUCCCGUAUCUAAAAACCAUAUUGUGGUACUAAGCUAACGAGAAGUAGGGCGGGACACGUGAUAUCCUGUUUGAAGAAGGGGGGACCAUCCUCCAAGGCUAAAUACUCCUGAUUGACCGAUAGUGAACCAGUACUGUGAAGGAAAGGCGAAAAGAACCCCGGUGAGGGGAGUGAAAUAGAACCUGAAACCUUGUACGUACAAGCAGUGGGAGCCCCAUCACUUAAUCCGAUUGGAAGGUGAUGAAAAGCAACCGCACUUAAACAAUGGUAAGAGGAGCGAAGCGAGUCAAACCACCCAAAAGAAGCAGUGGGAUUAAGUGAUGGGGUGACUGCGUACCUUUUGUAUAAUGGGUCAGCGACUUAUAUUUUGUAGCGAGGUUAACUGAAUAGGGGAGCCGAAGGGAAACCGAGUCUUAACUGGGCGAGUAGUUGCAAGGUAUAGACCCGAAACCCGGUGAUCUAGCCAUGGGCAGGUUGAAGGUUGGGUAACACUAACUGGAGGACCGAACCGACUAAUGUUGAAAAAUUAGCGGAUGACUUGUGGCUGGGGGUGAAAGGCCAAUCAAACCGGGAGAUAGCUGGUUCUCCCCGAAAUCUAUUUAGGUAGAGCCUUGAGGUGACACCUUUGGGGGUAGAGCACUGUUUCGGCUAGGGGGCCAUCCCGGCUUACCAACCCGAUGCAAACUACGAAUACCAAAGAGUGAUACUCAGGAGACACACGGCGGGUGCUAACGUCCGUCGUGGAGAGGGAAACAACCCAGACCGCCAGCUAAGGUCCCCAAGUCUAUAUUAAGUGGGAAACGAAGUGGGAAGGCUUAGACAGCUAGGAUGUUGGCUUAGAAGCAGCCAUCAUUUAAAGAAAGCGUAAUAGCUCACUAGUCGAGUCGGCCUGCGCGGAAGAUGUAACGGGGCUGAAAUAUAGCACCGAAGCUGCGGCAUCAGAAUUUAUUCUGUUGGGUAGGGGAGCGUUGUGUAAGCGGAAGAAGGUUCAUCGAGAGGUGGGCUGGACGUAUCACAAGUGCGAAUGCUGACAUAAGUAACGAUAAAACGGGUGAAAAACCCGUUCGCCGGAAGACCAAGGGUUCCUGUCCAACGUUAAUCGGGGCAGGGUGAGUCGGCUCCUAAGGCGAGGCUGAAAAGCGUAGUCGAUGGGAAACAGGUUAAUAUUCCUGUACUUGGUAAAGCUGCGAUGUGGGGACGGAGUAGGUUAGGUUAUCGCACUGUUGGAUAUGUGCGUUUAAGUUGGUAGGUGGGAAGUUUAGGCAAAUCCGGGCUUCCUUAACACAGAGAGAUGAUGACGAGGCUCUACGGAGCUGAAGUAACUGAUACCACACUUCCAGGAAAAGCCACUAAGCGAAAGGCUUUACUAAACCGUACUGAAAACCGACACAGGUGGUCAGGUAGAGAAUACUCAGGCGCUUGAGAGAACUCGGGUGAAGGAACUAGGCAAAAUAGCACCGUAACUUCGGGAGAAGGUGCGCCGGCGUAGAUUGUAAGGGCUAGCCCCUGAAGGUUGAACCGGUCGAAGAUACCAGCUGGCUGCAACUGUUUAUUAAAAACACAGCACUCUGCAAACACGAAAGUGGACGUAUAGGGUGUGAUGCCUGCCCGGUGCUGGAAGGUUAAUUGAUGGUGUAAUCGCAAGAGAAGCACCUGAUCGAAGCCCCAGUAAACGGCGGCCGUAACUAUAACGGUCCUAAGGUAGCGAAAUUCCUUGUCGGGUAAGUUCCGACCUGCACGAAUGGCAUAAUGAUGGCCAGGCUGUCUCC
rnacentral:rRNA from 1 species